rnacentral:rRNA from 1 species
UACAGAGGUCUCAAGCGUUGUUCGGAUUCAUUGGGCGUAAAGGGUGCGUAGGCGGCGCGGUAAGUCGGGUGUGAAAUCUUGGAGCUUAACUCCGAAACUGCAUUCGAUACUGCCGUGCUUGAGGACUGGAGAGGAGACUGGAAUUUACGGUGUAGCGGUGAAAUGCGUAGAUAUCGUAAGGAAGACCAGUGGCGAAGGCGGGUCUCUGGGACGGUACUGGACGCUGAGACGCGAAAGCGUGGGGAGCGAACAGG